GAUGAAAGCACGUUCUCUCUGUAUACAAGUAUAGUUUCAGUCCUCUUAUCAAUAUUACGGUCUAUAAAUACUCGAGUGCCUAUAAUACUUUUCGUAGCCAAAUUACAAACACAUACGAAAAGGAAAUAUUAACAGCGAAUUAGCAUUGUGAGAUACCAGUGAAAGACAUCCAACAGAAUACUCGAGUAAAACAUCCAAAGAAGUCAUGAAAACCGUACAUAUUCUAUUCCUAGCGCUUCUAUUACUUCUGCUUCUGAACGACCUUGCAGUUAUAAGGUCAAGUGGGCAGUUUUGUCAACGUACCACCUUACAAAAUGGACAUGUCGGUUGUCGAGAUACGGGACCUAUAAUACGUAGACGUGGAAGGUGCGGAAGGAGCGGGAGAGGGAAGUCUUGUAAAUUGGUAAGCAUGCGGUGCAGAUGUAGAGGAGGUGAAAGGUUUUUGCAUCCUGGGAGAAGAGAGUAAACAAACGAUUCCUAUAUGAAUCAUCCUAAUUGUGAUUUGGAAGAAAUUCAACAGUUUUACAUUGUUGAGUAAUAAUUAAGUAACUGUUUAGAGAUAAAUAACCCUGUGUUUCUUGACAUUUAACAGUUAUUACACCAGAUUUUAAUGGCAUCGGCUAUUUGUACGUUUGAGUAAUUCAAAUAUUUUUUUAUGUGAAAAAAGUCUUUAGAAUAAAACUAGGAGGCGUGGUGAAGUCUUGGUGUUUCAUAAUUGAGCCGUGCCAUGGGAAAACCAACAUCGUGGCUUUGCAACCAGCAUGGAUCCAGACCAGCCUGCGCAUCCGCGCAGUCUGGUCAGGAUCCAUGCUGUUCGCUAAUGGUUUCUCUAAUUGCAGUAGGCUUUAAAAGCGAACAGCAUGGAUCCUGACCAGACUGCGCGGAUGCGCAGGCUGGUCUGGAUCCAUGCUGGUCGCAAACCCACUAUGUUGGUUUUCCCAUGGCUCGGCUCAUAUGUCUUUGCUUUGUGGUUUAUUAGUGCAACAUCCAAUUUGUAUAAUUUACAUUCUAGCAUAAAACUGCUGGUUUUUUGUCGCUUUUAGGGGGUGACUUAACAGGAUAGUAAAUAUGUGUUUACACAAAGAUUCUCGCGCUCAUGCGCUGUUAACACUUUCAUAUGUGCGUUCCGUCGCAUAGUGAAUAAUUCAUAAAAAAAGACGUUGUGGUCAAAUUGCAUUUAAUAACGCUGAUGGAUAAUAUUUUUAUUUUUCAACUUUUAACAGGUUUUGUGCUAGAAUAGUAUUAGCGCAUGUAGAAGUACAUUUCGUGUUAUAACAGCUUUAGAAUCCCUCGGAAACCUUCAAAUGACAUAGCACAAAAUAAUGACUUAUUCGCACAUUAAUUUUCUUUCACGAAUUCACUGGAUUACUGUAUUACCACAUGUAACUAAUUGUUUGAGGCAAUACAAAAAAAGAUAUGCGUAAUUUAUUGCAAGAACGUUAAAAUAUGCGUCUCGAUAUAUUAAAUGUAAAUGAAAAUAUAAAUAUUGUAGAACUGUUUUAAUGAAUUAAAGCUUGGAAUAAAAGAACAAUAAAAUUC